GCCAAAAUCAAACCGGUCUAGUCCCGCCCCGCCCCUCGCUUCGCGCAGGCCCAGCCUUCGGAAGAUCCGCUAUGUCAAAGAAAAAGGGACUGAGUGCAGAGGAGAAGAGAGCCCGCAUGAUGGAAAUAUUUUUUGAGACGAAAGAUGUGUUUCAAUUAAAAGACAUGGAGAAGAUUGCUCCCAAAGAAAAAGGCAUUACUGCUAUGUCAGUAAAAGAAGUCCUUCAAAGCUUAGUUGAUGACGGUAUGGUUGACUGUGAGAGGAUUGGAACGUCUAAUUAUUAUUGGGCUUUUCCAAGUAAAGCUCUUCAUGCAAGGAAACGCAAGCUGGAGGUUCUGGAAUCUCAGUUAUCUGAGGGAAACCAAAAGCAUGCAAAUCUACAGAAAAGCAUUGAGAAAGCUAAAGUUGGCCGACAUGAAACGGAAGAGCGAACUAUGCUAGCAAAAGAGCUUUCUUCACUUCGAGACCAAAGGGAACAGCUAAAGGCAGAAGUAGAAAAAUACAGAGAAUGUGACCCACAAGUUGUGGAAGAAAUACGUCAAGCAAAUCAAGUAGCCAAAGAAGCCGCUAACAGAUGGACUGAUUCAUCGGAGGAAUGACUGUCUAUAGCAGCUAUAGCCUUCUGCAGUGUAUUUCUUAAAAAAGAAGACUUGAAAGUCAAAACUACUCCUUGAUCCAUGGGCCACAUAAUGGAUGUCGUGUUAGCAGAUAAUAUAUUUGCAAUAAAAUCUUGGGCGAAAAGAAAAUUUGGUUUGGAAGAAAAUAAAAUUGAUAAAAAUUUUGGAAUUCCAGAAGACUUUGACUACAUAGACUAAAAUGUUCGAUGUUGGGAGAGGAUCUGUGUACUUGUGAAUAUGUGAUUUUUAAAAAUAUUAUCCAACUAAAUGUACUGAAUUGCCAUUUACCUAUAACUGUGUUGUGUUGAUCAUUUUGUUAAUUUUAAAUAAAGUAUAAUGUGGA